AGGACGAACGCUGGCGGCGUGCUUAACACAUGCAAGUCGAGCGGUAAGGCCCUUCGGGGUACACGAGCGGCGAACGGGUGAGUAACACGUGGGUGAUCUGCCCUGUACUUCGGGAUAAGCCUGGGAAACUGGGUCUAAUACCGGAUAUGACCUUACAUCGCAUGGUGUUUGGUGGAAAGAUUUAUCGGUACAGGAUGGGCCCGCGGCCUAUCAGCUUGUUGGUGGGGUAAUGGCCUACCAAGGCGACGACGGGUAGCCGGCCUGAGAGGGCGACCGGCCACACUGGGACUGAGACACGGCCCAGACUCCUACGGGAGGCAGCAGUGGGGAAUAUUGCACAAUGGGCGAAAGCCUGAUGCAGCGACGCCGCGUGAGGGAUGACGGCCUUCGGGUUGUAAACCUCUUUCGACAGGGACGAAGCGCAAGUGACGGUACCUGUAGAAGAAGCACCGGCCAACUACGUGCCAGCAGCCGCGGUAAUACGUAGGGUGCGAGCGUUGUCCGGAAUUACUGGGCGUCAUCCCGCUGUAGGCGGGUUGUCGCGUCUCCGUGAAAACUUGGGGCUCAACCCCAAGCUUGCGGGCGAUACGGGCAGACUUGAGUUCUCAGGGGGAGACUGGAAUUCCCUGGUGUUACGGGUGAAAAAUGCCCAAAUAUCAGGAGGAACCCCGGGGGCCGAGAGGGGGG
rnacentral:rRNA from 1 species